AUUGAACGCUGGCGGCAUGCCUUACACAUGCAAGUCGAACGGCAGCACGGGGCAACCUGGUGGCGAGUGGCGAACGGGUGAGUAAUGCAUCGGAACGUACCUUUCAGUGGGGGAUCACGUACCGAAAGCUACGCUAAUACCGCAUAUUCUGUUAGCAGGAAAGCAGGGGAUCGCAAGACCUAGCGCUUAGUUGGCGGCCGAUGUCAGAUUAGCUGGUUGGAGAGGUAAAGGCUCACAAAGGCGACGAUCUGAAGCGGGUCUGAGAGGAUGAUCCGCCACACUGGAACUGAGACACGGUCCAGACUCCUACGGGAGGCAGCAGUGGGGAAUUUUGGACAAGGGGGGCAACCCUGAUCCAGCCAUGCCGCGUGAGUGAAGAAGGCCUUCGGGUUGUAAAGCUCUUUCGGCCGGGAAGAAAUCGCACGGGCUAAUACCCUGUGUGGAUGACGGUACCGGAAUAAGAAGCACCGGCUAACUACGUGCCAGCCGCCGCAGUAAGAC
rnacentral:rRNA from 1 species